CAGAGCUGCUUCUCUAACUGCUGUGAAUGAUGAGGAAAUCUGAGCCACGUGAAAGAAGCAUAGGAACCUAUGCCAAGCCCUAUUGUGCCACUGACCUUCGGAUUUGAAUGAAAUUAACAAUUGCCUAAUGAAUUGAGUUCUGAUAAUUUCUAUCAAGGCACUUUAAAGUGAUGGGCCCCAAGAAUUCAUCCUGGGGAUGAGGUAAAGGCAGUGUCUUUUUAUUCAAUGUGCAAAUUAUUUGAAAGUCUCUUCCACGUGAUUCAGUGUCCUCGAUGACUCAUUUAUAAUUUUUCUGCAAGGGAAUGUUAAAGUGACGGGGCCAGUGACCUUCCAGAGAAAGUGCUUUGCUGCUCUUCUGAGACCUUUUAGCACCUAUACUAAAUGAAUGCCAGUGCAGGAGCUUAUGUGUGGAAAGACUCAAUUCCAUGAAGGGCCCUGUUAAAAAUAUGACAGUACCCAAACCCUCGUGACCCCAAACCCUCACAAUCCUGUGCUUGCAGCAAAGCAACCGGGAAAGGUCAGCUCACCCUGGCUCAUGUUGUUGUCAACUCUCUGAAUUUAGGAUUUCGAACUAAAGUUAGAAAAGUGUGCAUUGCUUUGUGUAGUCAGUCUCUUUUCCAGAAAAUACGUUUUGAUUUUUUUUUUUUUUUGGUAGAUAACAUCAUUUUCAGCUGACACUAGGUGAAUAAUUUAUAUUUAAUAAAUUCAUUUAAAUGGGUACUAUAAUGAACGAAUUAACACGAUGAGUGACAGAAGAGGCAAACAAUGUGAUUUUUGUGAUCGAGCAUUUAGAAAGGUUAAACUGACAAUCUUGACGCUUAUGGAAGUUAAAUGGUCAGGUGCUGGGACACUUCGUAAGAGAACUGGCCAGGUUGGGGAGAAAUUGAGAACACUUUGGAAAACGGAGACGUAGGUCCCAGACCUGCCAGUUAUGGGCUAAGGAGGGUUUGUGAAUCACUUAGUAUUCUAAAGUUGUGGCCUCUCCCUUUGUAAAAUAAUUUUAUCUGUUUAAUAGGGUGCUUGGAAAGUUAAAUGCCAAAAUAAAUGCCAUGGUACUUUAUAAACUGGAAAGCCCUGUUACUAUUAAGAGGGGCCAGAUUUCAAAGAAAGCAGAGGCCUUGUGGGCUGCUAUUGCCCCAGAAGAGGAUUUGGAUGUAGAGAGACUGAAGAUUGGUUGAACCUUGGAGAGGCCACGGAGAGGAGGAAGAACGCUCACUAGAAAGACGGCAUGACUGAGGAAGUCGGUGGGAACAAGCCUGCUUCUCCCAUGGGAAUGUUUCUAAUCCUUUACUGUGGCCACCCUUCUCCAAACUCUGCGGAGGGAGAUUGCAGGCUGACCCUACCAUGGUGCAGCAUUUGGACCAUGACUGUCUGGGGGCACGAAGUGCUUUGUGAUUUGGUUUAAGGGUGAAAUCAGUGGUUCCAAACAUUGAGCGCACAUUAAAUCACCUUGGAACAUUGCAUUGCAAGAAUGCCCAGUUUCCAUCCCUGAGCUGCACUAAUCAGACUUUCUGGGAUAUGACGGUUUGGGUGAUGUCGUUUUCAUAGAUUUAAAAGUGAUUCUGAAGAAAAGCAGGGUUGAGAACUGCUGUUGAGUUCUUGAUGUAUGGAUUGAGAAAUUCGUUCUGAAUCGAAACACCCUGUCAUCCACUAGUUAAGAAAAAUUAACUCUGUUUGCUACUGGUCCCCAAAUGGGGCCAGUUGGGCUCUUAUGGGAGGGCCCAGCAAAUCUGAAACCUUGUUAGUGUACUCCAGACUUCUGCCUCAUGCCUGUGUCCUUGGAAACCUAGGCUCCUCCUCUUGCCCUGUGAUCCCAGGGGUCUGGCAGGUGAAGGUUUCAGCCAUGUUUCACAGUGGGACACCUGCCAUGGCUCACAAAGUUGUUGACUGUACGAAUUCUGUGUAGUGUCCACUCAUGUCCUCCCUGCCCACACCAGCCCUGCCCAGCUGUCUACAUGAAUCCUGGCAGGACUGAGGGAGGCAACUGAAUCCAACCAUCCUCACACAGGACAAAGCUAUUGUUAUGACUAACAAUAAGUCACUCUCUAUCCGUCUUAAUUGCAUCAGAUCUACUGUUAUUUAAACAUUGCGUUUAUAGUCCUUCUCCUCAAGUAGAAAGUAAGAUUCAUGAGAGCAAAGAUCUUUAUUGUGUCACUCACUGCUAUGUUGCCAUUGCCUAGAAAGGUGCCAGGCAUAUAGUAGACACUUAAUUUACACAUGAUGCAUGAAUGGAUGAUGCAAUAGCACCCAUUUAUGGAGUAUGUAUUAUGUGCCAGGCUCUAUAUCACUUCACAUGUAUCAUCAUGUUUAAUUCUCACAACAAGCUUAAGAGGGAGGUGCUACUAUCUGUUCUCAUUUUAGAGAAGCGGAAAUUGAAAUUCAGACAAGUUUACACACCUGCCCAAGGUUACACAGGUGGUAGAUUGAAUGAGACUUCAAGCAAAUACCAAAGGGUCAACCUUCAUCCAGUCCUCUGAGCAUUACUGGCAGACCUCCCUGAAAUGGGCACAUCACAAAAAAAUUGUAAAUGCUUCCCACCCAGCUCCCAGACAAAACUCCAAGAAUGCACUAACACCACUCCCAAGGGGUUGCACCAGCUAUUGGAGUGGCUUGGGCAGGGAAAAUGUUUGUCUCUGCUUUUUUUCACACCUGGAUGGGAAACAACUUGUGGAGUUUCCCAUUGUCUACCAAAGGUUUCAGCUGGACUCCAUCCCAUGGGCUGCUUCCACUCAAGUAGCAAGGAAGCAGUGAGGAUGGUGUCAGGGAAGGAAGAGUAAUUUGCUGGAAAAGUGCAAGUGAUCCAAACUGUACUUCUAAGAGGGCAGAAGCAGGCAGGGCAGAUGUCCAGUGCUCAUGAUUCCUGGUGGGCAUUUCUACUGGCAAAAAUGCAGGUACCCAAAGGAGGAAGCUGCCUUGCUCAGGGGAGUAAUGUGGGAGCACGGAGGGGGCUGCUGAGGACAGAAGCUACACAAUAUGUCCCUGCGUGUCCUUGGGUUAAUCAGAUGGUCUCAGAUUUCUUUGGGGCCUGACUGCAUUGCUAAAUUCAGGGGGGAAAUCCAAUUCCAUGGCCAUGCUUAGGAACAAGGAAAUAUGCUCUACACAUAUGGUCCUGGGAGCACCCCCUUCUUCCUUGCCUCUGUGUAUGACAGUGCACAGUACCUCCCUUACCUGGGCUAAGUCAGUUCAGACCCUAGUUACCUACAGUGAAGCUGAAGUGGUCUAUUUGGAGAAGCCAUGAAUGACAGUUUGGAGGUCAUGAAACAAGUAACUAUAUGGAAGUAAAAAACACAUGGUGUGGUCCAGUCUCAAUGACUUACCCCAGGGUUAUGGGCAGACAACUUCCCUCCCUGGCAACUUUCUAACCAGCUCACCCUCUGAAAUAAGUUCACCCUAAAAAUUCCCAAAUCUGCAUUGCUCAGGCUGUUUCUAAUACCUGCCAACAUUCCUAGACUAAACUUGACACAGCUGUUUUUCUAGUAGAGGUAAAGAUUUGGGGUGUCAUCCUAAUGCUUCAAUAAGCCCUUCCUAAGGUUGCUGGCAGCCCUCUGCUGGGCUGCAUCUGUGACUAUAUGGGAAAUACAUUAAACUAUUUGGGGUCAGGUUUUCAAAGAGUCAAUUACAGUUGAAAUUAGGAGAGAGAGAGAAGUUAGACACAUUGAGUGUCAACCAUGAGCCAGGCACUAUUCUAGGUCUUCAAAAUACGUAAUCUAAAUUUGAAUUUAAAACUGGAUUGAAAUUUACAUAAGAACGGGGUAACACAGAUAAUUGGUAUAAGGACUGCAGAUAUUUCUGCAGACUUUGAAGACUCCACUGGAGUUGGGGGCAGACGUGGAGGUGGGCGGGGCGGUCCUUUACAUGGAUGGUGUCUUUGUUACUAGGGUACUGUAAGUGCCUUUAUCCAGAAGAGCCCAGUGAAGACCUCUGCUCUGUUUUCAGACCACGAGGACACUUGGGAAGCUGCUCUGAGAAAUUUCAUCAGCUGUGGAAGCAGAGGGGCUGUUGAUGGAUUUCUGGAGGAGGGAUGGUUGUCUGUUCUCUUCGCUUGCCCUACUCAGAAAAAUGUUCAGAUUUCUUUUUAAGGCGUUGCAUGUAGAAUCAUUCUUGUUGCAAGAUAUGCAUAUGUAUCUUUUUAAUUUUAACUCAAGCUCUAUACCAAAAGGCAAGUUCAUUUACUCAGAGCCUAGACAGAAGGCUUUCCCAGUCCUGACACCUUGCUUAUUUGCUACUUAAAGUCUUUUGGAAGAAAAGAACAGAUUUUUGCAUUUUGUUCCCUUUCCUAUUUCAGGAAAAAAAAAAGAAUUUUUUUUAAAUCUACACAACUGUCCUAAUUGGAAGGGAUUCUUGAUCUGUUUCAUUGCAGUCUGUUUAUUUCUGGUAGGUGUCCAGACCGCUUGGCCCCCACCCCUGCCAGGCUGUUCUCCAACAACAUCCCGACUCCAUUCCAGAGCAGCUGGGAGCCUACAGCAGCCUAGGAAUCUCCAUGCAGCCCCAGGUGGCAUGCAGGGCCAUGUCUCCUCUUGAGGACCUGUCUUCAGCGUCUCUUUUAGGCCCACUCUGGCUGUCCUGCCACAUCAGCAUCCCUCUGUCUCCUCCUUUCAGGUCACCCAGCUUGUCUUGCUCCAGGCAGGGCUGCCCUACCCUAAUAUCCCCACACUCUGUACGUAGGCAUGGACCUGAGAAGUUACUGUGGCCAAAAUUUCACUCUGGAAGCAACUAGAGCCCCCGUAGUGUGGUGCAUGAGCCCAGGCCAGCUCCCGCCUGCACAGAGCUGCUUCGGGUUAAGGACUUGGGUGUUAAGAAGGAAACUGCCUAAGGCAAACAGCUCAGACUGGAACAGGGCCAAAUCUAGAGUUCUGGGGUUCAGGUGGAGAACAGUGUUGCUCUAUAAACGCAUGGUGAUGCAGAGGAAAUCAGCAUCAAGGAUAGCCUCAGGGCUGGUGGGGAGUGGAGAAGCCGCCAAGAUAACAUGCAGUCAUGAUAGGUGUUAAAAGAAAACCUUUAGACCAAAUAAACUUAAUAGGGCUUACUGGAGCAAAGGACAAUUGACAAAUCAGGCAGCACUCAGAACCAGAGGAGGUUCUGGGAGUUCUGCUGAGCAGUGUGGGCACUGGGCCUUUAUAGGCUGGAGCGGAAGGGAUACAAAGAAAAUAGAUUCAAUUCGCUAGAAUGGAAAGUCCCUGGUUAGAGAUUCAUUGAGGGUUUCUGACUGGAAAAGUGUCCAGGUUCGUUUGCUGUUUACCUAGAGUUUGUGCUUGCUUAUGAAGAAAUUUAAAGAACAAAGCCACCAUCACCUAAUGGCCUCCCAAUUAAGAUGAAAUUUUAACACGGAUGGUGAUGGUGGAUCCUUAACACAAGAUGGCAGAGAAGGACCCUAGAGAUGAUAUAGACCAGAAGUGGUCUACCAGUGUCCUCCAGCUCCUACGUAUGCUCACUGACCUCCUCUUCCCUCUUGUAUAUUACCACAUUACUGUAUAUUACUGCAUCACUACUGUGAUGUGGUAUAUUGUAUAUUACCAUUAUUAUAUUGUAUAUUAUAUUAUAUUGUAUGUGGUAUAUUGUAUAUUACCAUUAUUGUAUAUUACCACAUUACCUGCUGGAGCAGCGAUGCAGGGCCCAGAGAGAAGGAAGGAAAGUGGUGGAGGAAGAGUACCUUGGCUGCACCUGGUCAAAAGCCUUGGGAAGGAUGGCUUGGAACUCAGCAUCAAUUCCCCCGAAUCAUCAGACUUGGAAAUGAGCAUGGAAGUGGUGCUUCCUUUUCCUCAUGGAAAUCACAUGCAGCUUCAGAGAGUUUCAUUUGCAUUGAAACUUAGAGACAGAUAUAAUCUAUAGACUCCAAAACAUGGGUAAGGGCUGCAAAGAGCUGCAAGCUCACAGGAAGAGGAGCAGCAUCUAGGGCGGCAGCGGAACUUUGAGAGCACAAGCAGAACUACACUUCCCAAGGAUGAGGCACACACCGGCCCCUUGUUUGCAUUUCCUGGGAAGGAGCUAGAGGUCCCUGCAGCAAAAGCCCUCAGGGACCCAGUAUGAUUCAGAGAAGCUGAGGAGGCAGAGCUCUAUAAAGGAUAAUACCAUAUUUUCAGGAAGAAGUCUGUCUCUGUGAAAACAAAGAGAAAGAGGUCCUGUGAGAUGAAGAAUUCUGGAAGACUGUCCUUGCCCCACCCCUGGUUAGAACAUCUUGCAAAAAGCUGAUCUAGGGAAGUUCAACCAGUACACUCCAUGAAUAAUUUAAAAGAAGAUGGAAUAACCUCAAUACAAACAUUCUAUAAGACACAAAGAGCAGCAAAUCACAUCAACCGAAGAACAUGCACCCGUAAAAUGUGGGCUGGAAGAGGUGAAAAUUAUGAUGAAACAUUCCACCAUGAAUUAGAAACAAAGCACCUUGACAAGGCAAUUUGAUCUCUAAUGGAAAACCACAAAGCACAAAUGCAGGAACUCAAAUAGAAGAUGAAAAGCUGAUGGGAAGUGAUGAGAUGGAGCUAGAAGACUCAGGAAAGAAGCAGAGGAUAAUAAGGGGGCGAAGUCACUGCAAAAGGCUCUGUAAGAGAAGCACAGGAUGGGAGUGUGGAAUGCAAAUCUGAUGUCGUAGAGACAGGGAGUUAAGAUUAGAGAGAAAGUGAUCGCAAUAACAGGGAGGUGAAGGAAAGCCACACGUGCAAAACUAGAGUCUCUGAAGAAGCCAAAACAAUAGGAUGUAAAAAACGUUUUAAAAUACAAUUCAAAACAUUUCCUAAAAUAAAGCAAGACUUGAAUCUGCA